UGGUCAGAGACAGAGCUCUAGUGAUGUAUAGGAUACACUGUCUGGGAGAGAGUGGUGGGAGACAGAGCUCUAGUGAUGUAUAGGAUACACUGUCUGGGAGAGAGUGGUGGGAGACAGAGCUCUAGUGAUGUAUAGGAUACACUGUCUGGGAGAGAGUGGUCAGAGACAGAGCUCUAGUGAUGUAUAGGAUACACUGUCUGGGAGAGAGUGGUCAGAGACAGAGCUCUAGUGAUGUAUAGGAUACACUGUCUGGGAGAGAGUGGUCAGAGACAGAGCUCUAGUGAUGUAUAGGAUACACUGUCUGGGAGAGAGUGGUGGGAGACAGAGCUCUAGUGAUGUAUAGGAUACACUGUCUGGGAGAGAGUGGUCAGAGACAGAGCUCUAGUGAUGUAUAGGAUACACUGUCUGGGAGAGAGUGGUCAGAGACAGAGCUCUAGUGAUGUAUAGGAUACACUGUCUGGGAGAGAGUGGUCAGAGACAGAGCUCUAGUGAUGUAUAGGAUACACUGUCUGGGAGAGAGUGGUCAGAGACAGAGCUCUAGUGAUGUAUAGGAUACACUGUCUGGGUGAGAGUGGUCAGAGACAGAGCUCUAGUGAUGUAUAGGAUACACUGUCUGGGUGAGAGUGGUCAGAGACAGAGCUCUAGUGAUGUAUAGGAUACACUGUCUGGGAGAGAGUGGUCAGAGACAGAGGUCUAGUGAUGUAUAGGAUACACUGUCUGGGUGAGAGUGGUCAGAGACAGAGCUCUAGUGAUGUAUAGGAUACACUGUCUGGGAGAGAGUGGUCAGAGACAGAGCUCUAGUGAUGUAUAGGAUACACUGUCUGGGAGAGAGUGGUCAGAGACAGAGCUCUAGUGAUGUAUAGGAUACACUGUCUGGGAGAGAGUGGUCAGAGACAGAGCUCUAGUGAUGUAUAGGAUACACUGUCUGGGAGAGAGUGGUCAGAGACAGAGGUCUAGUGAUGUAUAGGAUACACUGUCUGGGUGAGAGUGGUCAGAGACAGAGCUCUAGUGAUGUAUAGGAUACACUGUCUGGGAGAGAGUGGUCAGAGACAGAGGUCUAGUGAUGUAUAGGAUACACUGUCUGGGUGAGAGUGGUCAGAGACAGAGGUCUAGUGAUGUAUAGGAUACACUGUCUGGGUGAGAGUGGUCAGAGACAGAGCUCUAGUGAUGUAUAGGAUACACUGUCUGGGAGAGAGUGGUCAGAGACAGAGGUCUAGUGAUGUAUAGGAUACACUGUCUGGGUGAGAGUGGUCAGAGACAGAGCUCUAGUGAUGUAUAGGAUACACUGUCUGGGAGAGAGUGGUCAGAGACAGAGGUCUAGUGAUGUAUAGGAUACACUGUCUGGGUGAGAGUGGUCAGAGACAGAGCUCUAGUGAUGUAUAGGAUACACUGUCUGGGAGAGAGUGGUCAGAGACAGAGCUCUAGUGAUGUAUAGGAUACACUGUCUGGGAGAGAGUGGUCAGAGACAGAGCUCUAGUGAUGUAUAGGAUACACUGUCUGGGAGAGAGUGGUCAGAGACAGAGCUCUAGUGAUGUAUAGGAUACACUGUCUGGGAGAGAGUGGUCAGAGACAGAGCUCUAGUGAUGUAUAGGAUACACUGUCUGGGAGAGAGUGGUCAGAGACAGAGCUCUAGUGAUGUAUAGGAUACACUGUCUGGGAGAGAGUGGUCAGAGACAGAGCUCUAGUGAUGUAUAGGAUACACUGUCUGGGAGAGAGUGGUUAGAGACAGAGCUCUAGUGAUGUAUAGGAUACACUGUCUGGGAGAGAGUGGUCAGAGACAGAGCUCUAGUGAUGUAUAGGAUACACUGUCUGGGAGAGAGUGGUCAGAGACAGAGCUCUAGUGAUGUAUAGGAUACACUGUCUGGGAGAGAGUGGUCAGAGACAGAGCUCUAGUGAUGUAUAGGAUACACUGUCUGGGAGAGAGUGGUCAGAGACAGAGCUCUAGUGAUGUAUAGGAUACACUGUCUGGGAGAGAGUGGUCAGAGACAGAGCUCUAGUGAUGUAUAGGAUACACUGUCUGGGAGAGAGUGGUCAGAGACAGAGCUCUAGUGAUGUAUAGGAUACACUGUCUGGGAGA